AAAAAAAAAAAAAAAAAAAAAAAAAAAAAAAAAAAAAAAAAAAAA
rnacentral:ncRNA from 3 species